UAUCAGAGAGCUGAAUUCUAAAUCAGAGACUGCGGAGGAGAGAUGUGCAACCUGAAUAAAACAUUUCCAGAAGAGCCUGAAUAAUGGUCCUGAAUAAAGGGAACUGAAAUGUUCUUGAAUUAUAAUUGGGAAAAUUUUAAGUGUGUGUACUCAGGAACACAUGUACUAAGAAGAGGGCAUUCAGAAAUUAGCAAACACAUUUGUUGGGUUGAUACAAGUUUACUGAGAAAUUGGAGAAGGAAGUAAAGAUGGAAAGAUGAGGAAGACUAAAGAUUAGGGUCAAUCUCUGACUCCAACAGCUUUAUGCUCCACAGCCGCAUCUUCUUCAUGAGAGAGAAUUUGUGUAUAAUAAGAGCUAAAAAAUCUUCAAGUGAAAAAAAAAAAUCUUCAAGUG